rnacentral:rRNA from 1 species
AACGAACGCUGGCGGCAUGCCUAAUACAUGCAAGUCGAACGUUCACUUCGGUGAUAGUGGCGCACGGGUGCGUAACGCGUGGGAAUCUGCCCUUGGGUUCGGAAUAACGUUUGGAAACGAACGCUAAUACCGGAUGAUGACGUAAGUCCAAAGAUUUAUCGCCCAGGGAUGAGCCCGCGUGAGAUUAGCUAGUUGGUGGGGUAAAGGCCUACCAAGGCGACGAUCUCUAGCUGGUCUGAGAGGAUGAUCAGCCACACUGGGACUGAGACACGGCCCAGACUCCUACGGGAGGCAGCAGUAGGGAAUAUUGGACAAUGGGGGCAACCCUGAUCCAGCAAUGCCGCGUGAGUGAUGAAGGCCUUAGGGUUGUAAAGCUCUUUUACCCGGGAUGAUAAUGACAGUACCGGGAGAAUAAGCCCCGGCUAACUCCGUGCCAGCAGCCGCCGUAAGAC